rnacentral:rRNA from 1 species
AAGGCUUCAGCACGACCCAGUCAGAACUAUAAGUCUCAAAGCCCCGACGAGUAGGGUGGCGUGCCGGUGCGCGUUGAAGGCCAAGACGUGAGUCAGGCUGGAGCCGCCGGUAGUGCAGAUCUUGGUGGUAGUAGCAAGUACUCUGGUGAACCAACCUGGAGCUGUGAGGUCUGGAUUAGGGUUCCAUGUCAACAGUGAUUGAACAUGGGUGAGUCGAUCCUAAGCCAACUGUGAAAGCAGUGACAUCCCGACAAAGGGCCACUACAUGUGAGGCACUUACACCCCCAAAGCAAAGCUCUCGUAUUGCUCUCUCUCUCUCUGACGAUAUGGUGUCUGGUACGGAAUAUGAGCGCGCACACACGAUGAUCACGACAAAUCCGUGAGAGUGUGUGCGCGAGCACGCAAUGGUCUGGUUACGGAAUAUAAGCAAAAGCGAGCACACACGAUGAUCACCCCGUGAGAGUGUGUGUGCACGCCAUGGUCUGGUUACGCUCAAAAGCGUUGUUGCUCGAGGAUAAACGAUAAAGCAUAAAACGAGAGAGAGAAACGGAGUGGGUGAGCGUGAGUGUUGCUCAUUGAAUGAGCACCCUGCGUCUGGUUCUAUGUCUGGCGAAAGGGAAUGGGGACUUUGUUCCUUGACCGGUCCUGGCACCCUCGAUUGGCUUUGCCAAUUAAUGGUCCAUGCAAAUGGAACCAGGCCACAGCCGUCGGCAGUCGCCCGAGGAAGAGUUUUCUUUUCUGCUUAACGCACGAGGUCAUUCCUGGAAACAGUUCGGCUGGCGAAAGGGUGCCCCGCUGCGGCAGAGCGCCACGACUGUCGUGCGCGUCUCGGUGUUCCUGCUGAUCCGUGAAGACGUGGUCGAGGGGAUUGCUCUUGUAUCAACGAAACGCCCGACAAGUUCGGGACGGACCGUACCCUAUAUCCGCAUCUGGUCUCCAAGGUUCGUAGCCUCUGCAGAGUCAGACACAUGUAGGUAAGGGAAGUCGGCAAACUCGAUCCGUAACUUCGGGAAAAGGAUUGGCUCUGAGGGCCGAGCUGGGCCGGGCCUUGCCUGCAAAGCAGUACCUAUAGUGACCGGAGUUUUAGGAGUGCGAGGGGCUCUAGUAGCUGCUUGUGCGUGUGUGCGUUCGCGCGUGCACGCGUGUGGGCACGAACGAGUCCACCGCUCCGCUCCAACCACGAACGGCUGUGACGGCAAGGGCUCUGGGCGGGAGCGAUCGAUCCGUUGGCCUCCAGCUUGUCUGGUUGGCGGCGGUGCUCUGUCUGACCCAUACGGCUCCAGCGGCUAGCGGCUAACUCAG